rnacentral:rRNA from 1 species
GUAGGGUCCAAGCGUUAAUCGGAAUUACUGGGCGUAAAGCGUGCGCAGGCGGUUGUGCAAGACCGAUGUGAAAUCCCCGGGCUUAACCUGGGAAUUGCAUUGGUGACUGCACGGCUAGAGUGUGUCAGAGGGGGGUAGAAUUCCACGUGUAGCAGUGAAAUGCGUAGAGAUGUGGAGGAAUACCGAUGGCGAAGGCAGCCCCCUGGGAUAACACUGACGCUCAUGCACGAAAGCGUGGGGGGGAGCAAACAGGAUUAGAUACCCUGGUAGUCCACGCCCUAAACCGAUGUCAACUAGUUGUUGGGGAUUCAUUUCCUUAGUAACGUAGCUAACGCGUGAAGUUGACCGCCUGGGGAUACGGUCGCAAGAUUA